CAGAAAACCAGCAAUGAAGACCUGCACAAGAUGAAUAUGAAGAAGUGGGCAUUUUUCUUCCUUCUCCCCAGACCCACCAAAUGUAGUUGAUUUCAGCCAUACACACCCUCUCAGUCAAAGAGGAGGCAGGUUGAUUGACUUCAUUCCCUUCGGUUCUCCUGGCUGUCUUAGACCCAACAUGUUACAAUAUUUGCAGUAAAUACCAUCUAAUACUGGCUGUGCAUUCUGGUUCUGAAAGAUGUGUUGGCCAUCUGCUGCUCUCCCCGCCUUGUGACGUCUGUCUUUUUGUCUCUUGCUCAUCCCAUCUCUCCUGCGUGGUGGAUGUAUAGGACAUGCGAUCAGAGCCGUAGCUGGAUUUGGCAGACAGAUGCUGGAGUCGGGUGGGCGUUGGCUUUGUGAACCAGAAAGUCCCAGGCUCACGGGACAGCAGGACAGGUCACAGGACAGCAGGACAGUUCACAGGACAACAGGACAGGUCACAGGACACCUGUGACCCUGUGGGUCAGAAUCAAAAGCCUCCUCAGGAGCUGCUUCUGUGGGGUCAGGCUUAGGCUGGUCCUGGCGGUUGCACCAUACUGGACCAGGAUGUUUGUUCCUUAAUUAUGACUGGAGUUCCUCCCUGGCAUAUGCACAUCCAAGGGGCUUGUCUAAAAACUCCAGUGAAGAAGAGGGAGAAGGGGGAAGUCAAAAUCCUCCCUAACUAGAUCAGUCGGAUUUUAACCUUGAUCCUGAAUUGGAUCCUGGAUAAGAAAUCGAAUCCUGAAAGAUCCUCCUCCCGGCUGUCUCUCCCUGACUCUACCUUCCCCCAACCCCGUUCGGGAAAACUACAGCGGGGAGCAGUCGAGCAAACCAAAUGUCAUUAUUCAUUUUUCAUAAGAAAGUGAAGUUGAAAUUGGAAUUAGCAUCGUUAUUCUGUUUGUGUUUUACAUUAAGGCCAAUUUUAUGUAUCUAGAUUGCCUGAAAGAAGCUGUAGUAAAAACUGAAAGCGACCGUCACAGGGAGCCAAUAAGCUAACCAUUGACUAGUUUUACUUAUUGGAACCGUCCCCAACCGGUGCUUGGUCCUCCUCCUCCUCCUGGCAAUCAUUUAUCAGACUCUGGGAGGGGGGCAGCGCUCGGGAGCCUUUCGUCACCCGUCCGCGGAGCGAGGAAUACAAGGUGGUGUCAGUGACUAGAGAUUAGGACAGUGGAAUUUUGCAUUUGUUACAGGAGCAGCUGUAGCGAGUGGUUUCAGCCGCAGGGCAGAGUCCCUGAGCAGGGCGCGGCUGCAGCUAGGCAGACGGGCGGCGGAGAGCGCGGGGGCGAUCGCGGGGCGGUCGUGGGAGCGGGGCCGCCAAGGCGGGGCGGGACUCCAGACCGCAGACCCGGACUGCACGGGGCUUCUCCUGGCGGCCCCUGCACCCGUGGAUCUGUCUGCUGAGGCGCGCUUCCACUCCCAGAGUUUAUUCCUGGUUCCUUCUUCAGUCCUGCUCAUCGGAGGACCCGGUUGCCAUGGUGAAGGAAAAAGUGGCCCACCCUCAGGACCCUCACCACCCAUCGGAGAAGCCUGUCAUUCACUGCCAUAAAUGUGGGGAGCCUUGCAAGGGUGAAGUGCUUCGGGUCCAGACCAAACAUUUCCACAUCAAGUGUUUCACCUGCAAAGUGUGUGGCUGUGACCUGGCACAAGGGGGCUUCUUCAUAAAGAACGGAGAGUAUCUCUGCACCCUGGACUACCAGCGGAUGUACGGGACACGCUGCCAUGGCUGUGGGGAAUUCGUGGAAGGAGAAGUCGUGACUGCUCUGGGCAAGACCUACCAUCCCAAUUGCUUUGCUUGUACUAUCUGCAAGCGUCCGUUUCCACCCGGAGACCGAGUCACAUUCAAUGGGAGAGACUGCCUUUGUCAACUCUGUGCACAGCCGAUGUCAUCCAGUCCGAAAGAAACUAACUUCUCCAGCAAUUGUGCUGGCUGCGGAAGAGAUAUCAAGAAUGGGCAGGCACUGCUGGCGCUGGAUAAGCAGUGGCACUUGGGGUGCUUUAAAUGCAAGUGCUGUGGGAAGGUCCUCACCGGGGAGUACAUCAGCAAGGACGGCGCCCCGUACUGUGAAAAGGACUACCAGGGACUCUUUGGGGUGAAAUGUGAGGCAUGUCACCAGUUUAUCACAGGGAAAGUCCUGGAGGCAGGUGACAAACAUUACCACCCCAGCUGUGCACGAUGCAGCAGAUGCAACCAGAUGUUCACGGAAGGAGAGGAAAUGUAUCUUCAAGGUUCCACUGUUUGGCAUCCCGACUGUAAGCAAUCUACGAAGAUUGAGGAAAAGCUGCGGCCGCCAAACAUUCGGUGUUCUCCAUCCAAUUUCUUUUACCCCAAAAGUCUGAUUCGACGCACAGGACGGUCUCCAUCUCUGCAGCCUACCAGGACAUCCUCGGAAAGUAUUUAUUCUAGACCAGGCUCCAGUAUUCCCGGCUCACCAGGUCAUACUAUCUAUGCAAAAGUAGACAAUGAGAUCCUGGAUUACAAGGACUUAGCAGCCAUUCCCAAGGUCAAGGCAAUUUAUGACAUUGAACGUCCAGAUCUUAUUACCUAUGAGCCUUUCUACACUUCGGGCUAUGAGGACAAACAGGAGCGACAGAGCCUCGGAGAGUCUCCGAGGACUUUGUCUCCUACUCCAUCAGCAGAAGGAUACCAGGACGUUCGGGAUCGGAUGAUCCAUCGGUCCACUAGCCAGGGCUCCAUCAGCUCCCCUGUGUACAGCCGCCACAGUUACACUCCAACCACGUCACGCUCUCCCCAGCAUUUCCACAGACCUGAGCUUUUGUCUCCUGGUGUGCAGAGGUUGUCGUACCUGCGCACCAGCAGCCUCAGCCCCACCCACAGCGACUCCCGCCCCAACCCCCCUUUCCGACACCACUUCAUUCCCCAUAUCAAAGGCAAUGAGCCGUCCAGCGGCCGGAACUCCCCUCUCCCUUACCGGCCAGACAGCCGCCCUCUAACUCCAACUUACGCUCAGGCCCCUAAACAUUUCCAUGUUCCAGAUCAAGGGAUCAACAUUUACCGAAAACCACCCAUCUACAAACAGCAUGAUGCAGCUGCCUUGGCAGCCCAGAGCAAGUCCUCAGAAGAUAUCAUCAAGUUUUCCAAGUUCCCAGCAGCCCAGGCACCAGACCCCAGCGAGACACCAAAGAUUGAGACGGACCACUGGCCUGGUCCCCCCUCAUUUGCCGCCAUAGGACCUGACAUGAGACGCAGAUCUAGUGCCAGAGAGGAAGAUGAUGAGGAACUUCUGAGACGCCGGCAGCUUCAAGAAGAGCAAUUAAUGAAGCUUAACUCGGGCUUGGGACAGUUGAUAUUGAAAGAAGAGAUGGAGAAAGAGAGCCGAGAAAGGUCAUCUCUGUUAGCCAGUCGCUAUGACUCACCCAUCAACUCAGCUUCACAUAUUCCAUCAUCUAAAACUGCAUCUCUCCCUGGCUAUGGAAGAAAUGGGCUUCACCGGCCUGUUUCUACCGACUUCGCUCAGUAUAACAGCUAUGGGGAUGUCAGCGGGGGAGUUCGAGAUUACCAGGUAUGGAACACUUUGUCUUUCUUGAACUGGCCACACCAGCAGAACAGCCAUUUUCCAUUCCAAACUGCUGGCCCCAAGGCAGCAGUUUCUGUUGAGAAGAUGCUUGCUGUGGUUGAUCUGUCUAAUUAUUACUCCAUAGCUGUGAAGAGCAGGCAUGCUUGCUGCCUGGGUCGUGCUGUCCCAGUAGGCCUUGGGGAUACCACAUGAGCCAAGCCAGGUGUAGGGGACUCUCUUGCUUUGGCCUUGGAGAGUCUUCUCUGGGGUGGAGGUGGACCACCAUCAAGGGUCUGCUCAUAUACAGUUUUUCUUCUUUUACUUAUAAUCUCUCAGUACUUUAGUCCACUCUUCUCCUGCAUGUUCUUAAAUGAAAAGACACUUAUGUCUUAGCCGACAGGAGAGAGCAGUUUGCUCUCAUUGCAUUCCUUUCUCACUAGAACCUAAAUUUUGUAAAAAAACAAAACAAAACAAAAAAAUGUGAUAGAGAAUAGGAAAAGAGGAAAAAUGCAGAGAAAAUCAAGAUUAGAGAUAAGAAAAUAACAAUAAUAGACUUGGCCAUCUUCUAAAUGUCCCAUAUACUUUUAUUCAUGGAGUCUAAUUGAGGAAUUUAUCCAUAGCUAUUAAGCCAAGAUCUCUCCCUAACUUGAUUGCAAAAGAGCUGUAUUCCUGCUCUUAUUCAGCAAGAAUCUCAUUUUGAAAACUACAUAGUCAUCUAGAUGACACCAAUGAAAUAGUGGUUAGGACUGGAGACCCAACAGGGAGUCGGGAGCCGAAGAGCACUCCCUUCAGUUCCCCAGGUUAUCUCAUGCCCCACCUCCAACCAGCAUCUCUGUUGCAGACGCUUCCAGAUGGCCACAUGCCUGCAAUGAGAAUGGACCGAGGAGUGUCUAUGCCCAACAUGUUGGAACCAAAGAUAUUUCCAUAUGAAAUGCUCAUGGUGACCAACAGAGGGCGAAACAAAAUCCUGAGAGAGGUGGACAGAACCAGGCUGGAGCGCCACUUAGCCCCUGAAGUGUUUCGGGAAAUCUUUGGAAUGUCCAUACAGGAGUUUGACAAGUUACCUCUUUGGAGACGCAACGACAUGAAGAAAAAAGCAAAACUCUUCUAAGUUCCCACUCUGAAUGGCAAUUAGAGAAAGCACUGACCGUGGCGUUACCCCAGAGGAUGUCAUAUUGAGGCCCAAACUCAAUUGGAGAAUUUGCAAGCUAUCAUUGCUCAGCAAUACCAAAAAGAGAAAGUCUGGUUAAAACACCCAUGAGUCCAACAUCAGGCCAGCCAAGAGUAACACUUGCCAAGAAGCAUGGGGUAGAAACUUCUGGGUUCCAGAACACAGAGUAGUGCCCACAUGUGACCUUUUCACAUGACCUUAUGUAUACAACAGGAGCUGCGUUGUUUUCUUCUUCUGUUUUCCUCUACCUGUUCUCCAACAGUAGUGCUGACUGUACGGAUAAGAGCCAGCAAGUGCCCUUAGGAUGCCACAUGGGAAAGAUCGGUUAUCAUAAUUUCAAAGUAUAAAUAUAUUUAUUGUGUAGCGCUGUGGCUAAGAAGGAAGAGUGAGGGGUCUGUCCAUGUGACAGCAGUGAUUUCACAGCCACCUUUCUUGACUGGCGUCAUGUUGCUUCACCAGCGCUCUGGCAGGUGAACAGGGCAGGUCAGGGAACAGGGCAGCUCUGUUUGCAUGGGGUGAAUAACAGCAAAAUUAAUUCUUAAUAAGCUCCUUGUUCUCUGCCGUUUGCUGGGACCUGGUUGGCAAAUGACUUAGCUAUUAGAAUAUUUAAAAACUGUUUUAAAGCAAAAGAGGAGGAACAGGAAUGAAAGGGAACCUUCCCUUAACUUUCUGCUUCCCAUAGCGAGCCUGGUUUCUGGUUUCCACCUAGCACAGGAGCUGUCUCGAGCUCCACUUUUGCAAGGAAAGGAAAAACAGAAAUUGCCUACAGAUUGGCUCAGUGGCAUGCUAUUAGGUUAUUUUGCCCAGGGGCCAUAUCACUGUUGGCAAAAAAAAAAGUCCCAUGUCCUACUGACUCCAGUCCUUCCAUCAUUGUCCUCUGCUGUCUCUCUGGCAGCCUAUGAAUCAGAUCAAGCCCAUGCUGUUGGUUUUUAAGGUUUCUUUCAGUAAUAGGCUAAGGAAAGAUGUGUUUUUCUCUUUUAAAUCUCUGCAACUCCAAAGUAGACUCCCUUAAACAGAUUUAAUUUGGCCUUUUCAGCUUUCUUCUUGCCUAGCUCUGUUGACUUCAUGAGUGUAUGUAUGCAUGUUGGUUUCACUCACUCAGAGUAAUUUUGUGAGUGCGCAUGUGCUUUCUAAUUUCUACUCGAAUGUUUGUCCCACAGUGUUGCAGCUUCUAAAGACAUUUUCACCAAGUAUAUGUGACUCAAGAUCAAGAGUGAGGCUAAACUGCGCCCCCAACAUCACUUCCUCCAUGGAAAGGUGUUGGUGCUGAUGUAGCUCAUAACAGGAUCGAGGAAGGACGAGGCGGGAUAUGGAGGUCAGAGCAUCUCACAAGAGCCCUCAGACAAAAAAAAAAAAAAAAAAAAAAAGAGCCCUCAGACUCUGCAACACUGUAUUUAAAUUUAAGCCUAGGAUUUCACCAACACAUGUGUGCAUAUAAAACCACAUCAUGAUUCCCUAUGUGAGUUAGAUGAGGGAGAGUUUGUGUAACUCCACACCCAGGAGGUUAAGUCAUAUUUAUUAUCAUGCUUUGGGGCUCUGCUUAAUAAUUUAAGCUCUGUUUUAAAGCCAAAGAAGAAAGAAUUUGAAUUUACCUUCAUAUGCCACUGAGAACAAAAGCUCUGAAGUCCUUCCUGCUGGCACCAGGUAUUAGGCUUACAAGCUAUCUCUCUGACACAGGUGGUAAAGGAGCAAGUAGGAUAGUUUUUGAGUCUGCAUUGCAGCCUCUGAUACAUGGCCCACUGCUGUCAUUUGGGGCUGGAAUGAACACCGUCACUGUUUUACAGCAUCCUCCUGUGCUCUUACUGAAGGAAUACAAAUUGUCCUAGCCUUUCAGUGCUAUGCACUGAAUAUUUGAGGACUGUUCUCGUGUGUGUGUGUGUGUGUGUGUGUGUGUGUGUGUGUGUGUGUGUGUGUUGGACCUAUUCACAUCUUUAGCAAAUGGCUCUGACAGGGUGGCCAUAAGCAGAUGAGACCAGCUUUUGCUUGGCUGAAAGGCAGACUGCAGUUUGCAGUUUGGCCUUCGGUGUCUCAGUGGCCUUUUGCUUAUUCCAUGCUUUUUCUGUCCCAUCUCUCUCAUCCUCUUUUUCCGUGCCCUCCUGCACUAGUAGCCUUGGCACAGUGCCUGGGCGUCCUCAUCCUUGCUUUACUCUGGAAAGUGUGGGGACAGAGAGGAUGGUGCAUUUCAUGUUUUCUUACCUGUCAGUAACAAUGGUGGCCACAUGGGUCCCAGCACUUGGCUGGUGGAGAGAUUAUUUUUCAUUAUGGAGCUAAUAAAGGGCCUCCAUGUUUUACAUUGAUUAAUGAAUUAUCACCCACACAUGUGCAGAUCAAAUGUCAAUAUAAGAGUAAUUAAGGUAUUUGGGAAACAUGGGCAUAAUCAGGUAGUUUUACUAAAAUUCCUCUUCCUUGGUCUUCAUAAAGAAGAUAUGGGUCUGUCAUAGAAUGGGGACAUUAGACUGAAAACUGGGACAACCCCCUUCCUUAUUUUACAGAAACUAGGAGUUAAGGGGCCUGCCUAAGAUUGCAAUGAUAAAGAACUGAACCCUAAGUCAGCUCCCACUAAUGAAACCCUGCUUUUCUUGUAUCUUUUAAACUCAGUUCUGCAUCCAACUUGAGGAGAAAAGUUCCUUUCCAUAUCAAAUACUAUAUGAGUUCAUUUAAACUGCACCUUGCAGAAAUGCAUUGCCAGAAAGCACCAGUAGCCUCCUGUGUGCAAGCAGAGUAGUGCUCUGCUCUGGGGAGGGGUCACUGGAAACUGUAAUGCAGAGUGCGACCCCUACUUCAUUUCCCGGCAGAAGGCUCUAGCCGGAGGGAUGGGUCAUGGGGCAACCUGGUACCUGCUAACUGCCAGAACAAAUUAUGUGGGCUAUAAUGCCUGUCCAUUUGGUUAAACUGGGCUCAGCAUGCUUGUCCUCAAAGUGUCCUUCCUGGUCACAGCACAUGAGAUGGGUAUUGUCUGCUUUCACCCCACCCUGUACUACACAUGAAAAUUCCAGUUAUUAACGCACUCAAACUAAUGGAGCUUGUUCACCCUAGGAGGGGAAUUAUAUAUAUGGCAGGCUUCUCUGGUGCAUAUGUAAAGGGCUACAUUUUGGAACAUUUUACUUCCUUGGGACUCUUACAUGCAUACUGAUGGCAUGAAGUAAAAGAGGCCUCUAUGAUGAUAUGAAAAUCAGUUCCUCUUAUAAAAGGUCUUCAAGAAAAUCCAGGCUAUCAUAUAGUCUUUCUGUGUGACUUAUUAGGAGAUAGGAAGAGCCUUUGGAAACUUGCACAGCUAGCUAUGCAUCUACAUUUUGGUUUGGGGUUAGUUAUGAAAUGUUCUUAAUAUGACUUCUUCAAUAACUUCACAUAAACUGCCUGUUCUUCAAAACCUCAAAGAGAUCAACUAGAGUUAGUUUUUUGUUUUUAAUGGGGUAGUUUUCUAUCUGUCAUGGGCUCUAGCAUCUACUCCGCUACCCAAUUCUGUCAUCUCCAAGCUGAGUUUCCUCUUCUGAGGCAGAGGCUGGAGCAGUUCAUUUUCAUUUCUGACCCUCUCCAUCCCAGUCUGGUCUAUCAGUCCACUCUAACUCAGAGAUGUCUAGCUGAUAAUGUUUCUAAAAGUUUCACUGAAUUUAUUUAGAUAUCGAAGCAAACAUUUUUUUCUAGAAUUGCUUCUCAGAUGAUUAUAUCAAAUACAUAUGCUUUUGCAAGUUUGAAAAAUUCAAACUUUUGACUAGAUAAGUCUUUCUAAAAAUGAUUUAAAGCUAACUUGGUCUUGGCAUCCUCCCAUGUAUCAAAGGGACAGGUGGGUGCUCACAGAACCCUUUUCCUGACUGUCUUGAAAGAUGGUGGAAGGAAAAUGGACUGUCUCGUCAACCCUCCUGUGUCCUCUGAAGCAGUCUCAGUUCUUAAUCCCUCUUCUGUGUUUCUGGUAGCUAUUUCAUCUGUACUCCUUAUGCCAGCCUCGAUUUUAUUUGAUUUUUAAAAUUACUCUCUUCUAACCAAUGAAGUGUUUGUCGGUAUGCCCCAAAGCUUGCUCUUUUGUGCUCCCUGUUGAAGAACUUUCUAUCCAGAAAAAGAGAUUACUUGGGACUUGAGAUUUGCAGUGAUACCAGCUUAUAGCAAUGAUGUACUUUAAGGGAACUAUUCAUCUAUGUUGUGAUAGGAGAAAGAGAAACCUUCACUUUGGCAUUUUUAAAAUACAAAAAAUAAUAAUAAUAACUGUUUAUUUUUCUGUUUGCUGCCCAGGAAGCAGUGGGAGGUGGUGACAGAUACGCUUUGCAUAUGGAUUGUUAUGUUUUUAUUUGGGCAAGUUUAAUCAUGCAAAACUCAAAAAGAAAGGGGGAAAUGGUCAGUUUAAGCCGAAAGAAACGUUCUAAGCAAUGAAUACAUACACAGCAAAAUUAAACAAAUCCAACAAUUUCUGAAGCUUAGUAUAAUUGAGUGGCAGUUGUUAUUCAAUAAAAUUCUUCCCCAAAGUGUUUCUCCAAAGAGUCCAGUUCCCAUGAGUCACUUCCUGACCCCAGUGACCAAAGGUGGACGGAGAUGAUCUUGACAUUCAGGAAGAUGUGAGCUGCUUACUGAUCAUGUGUGCGUAUGUUUCUUUACAGCAGAGGAAACCAUGGUCCGCAAAACUCUUGUUCUUUUGGGGUUUUAUGUACAGACUUGUCCAAUGAUGUGUGUGGUUCCUGUGAGUUGCUGACAGCUCUGCAUUGAAGCUCUCUGAGCUCUUUCAUUUUUAAGUUGGGUUUAUGGAAUAUUUUCAAAUGUUGGAAGGCGUAUAGUUCUUCCUGCCCUCCCUCCCUUUUCGGAAAUAUGAAAGCAAAUAUUUAGAAGAAUUCCCUUUGAAAAGCUGUGUUGUGUUCCCCAUGAAACUGAGCAGGUGUGUGUUGGCACGCCGAGUGCCACGUGCUUGUGUGCAGAGGAGAAGGUGGCCCUGCCAGCUCCACGCUGCUGUGCCUGUGACCCUGACCUGCUCCCCGCUCCUGUUGCAAGCAGCACUCACUGCACUCCUUUGUCAUAUACUCUGCAUCACUGUCAUCCUCACAACUUCGUGAAUAAAGUUGUGUGCUUUCUUCGUA